rnacentral:tRNA from 1 species
GGUGGCUCCAGUGGUAGAGCGCUUGCCUUGCAAGCAUGAGGCCCUGGGUUCAAUUCCUCAGCACCA